AUUCCGUGAUGAGGGCAUCUUUAUAAUAGUUCUUUAAGUCUUUCCAACGCCUCAUACAAGGAUUCAUCAUCCAUUUGUUGGAAGGUAGUGAUCUCAUUCCACAACAU
rfam:Gossypium arboreum cultivar AKA8401 contig_29987_1, whole genome shotgun sequence.